rnacentral:rRNA from 1 species
AGCAGUGGGGAAUAUUGGACAAUGGGGGCAACCCUGAUCCAGCGAUGCCGCGUGAGUGAUGAAGGCCCUAGGGUUGUAAAACUCUUUCGUCAGGGAAGAUAAUGACGGUACCUGAAGAAGAAGAUCCGGCUAACUCCGUGCCAGCAGCCGCGGUAAUACGGAGGGGUCUAGCGUUAUUCGGAAUUACUGGGCGUAAAGCGAGCGUAGGCGGAUUUGUAAGUUGGAGGUGAAAUCCCAGAGCUUAACUCUGGAACUGCCUUCAAAACUACAUUUCUUGAGUUUGGUAGAGGAGAGUGGAAUUCCUAGUGUAGAGGUGAAAUUCGUAGAUAUUAGGAGGAACACCAGUGGCGAAGGCGACUCUCUGGGCCAAUACUGACGCUGAGGUUCGAAAGCAUGGGUAGCGAACAGGAUUAGAUACCCUGGUAGUCCAUGCAGUAAACGAUGAGUGCUAGAUGUUGGGAAUUUAAAUUUCCAGUAUCGCAGUUAACGCGUUAAGCACUCCGCCUGGGAAGUACGGCCGCAAGGCUAAAACUCAAAUGAAUUGACGGGGACCCGCACAAGCGGUGGAUCAUGUGGUUUAAUUCGAAGAUACGCGAAGAACCUUACCGGCCCUUGACAUACCAAUCGCGGACUUAAGAGAUUAAGUCUUUCACUUCGGGUGGAUUGGAUACAGGUGCUGCAUGGCUGUCGUCAGCUCGUGUCGUGAGAUGUUGGGUUAAGUCCCGCAACGAGCGCAACCCUUACCUUCAAUUGCCAGCACAUUAUGGUGGGAACUUUGAAGGAACUGCCGGUGAUAAGCCGGAGGAAGGUGGGGAUGACGUCAAGUCCUCAUGGCCCUUACGGGCCGGGCUACACACGUGAUACAAUGGUAACUACAAAGGGCAGCGAAGGAGCGAUCUGGAGCAAAUCUCAAAAAGUUACCUCAGUUCGGAUUGCACUCUGCAACUCGAGUGCAUGAAGUUGGAAUCGCUAGUAAUCGUAGAUCAGCGCGCUACGGUGAAUACGUUCCCGGGUCUUGUACACACCGCCCGUCACACCAUGGGAGUUGGUUUUACCUGAAGCUGGUUCGCUAACCGUAAGGAGGCAGCCAACCACGGUAAGAUUAGCGACUGGGGUGAAGUCGUAACAAGGUAACCGUAGGGGAACCUGCGGUUG